CCCAACAGAGCGUCUGCGAAACGUCCCCUUAGUCUCGUAUUCAGGCUUCAGCCGAGUUCUCCAGGUACGGCUAAACACCACUCAGCGCGUCUGCAACACAUCCCCUUACACUCAUAUUAGAGCUUCAGCUGUCUGCUCCAGGUACGGCCACUCAGCGCGUCUGCAACACAUCCCCUUACACUCAUAUUAGAGCUUCAGCUGUCUGCUCCAGGUACAGCCCCAGUCUAUUCAAGUGUCUGCAACAACAUGCAUUCAGUUUUAUAUUCAAGCCUCAGCCAUGUUCUCCAGCUACAGCCGAACAUUUACCUUCAGCUUCACAUUUUAGCUGCUUGUUGAUUUGAGUCAACUAAGCAGGUGAAUUUUCAGCUUUGCUCUCACGUGAUUUGGUCUGGAAUGAAGGUUUUAAUGAGCUUGUACACACUGCUAACGUGUGAACUGUUAUGUACAUGGUAGCAGUGUGCAGUAUAAUUCAGGUCAUGGGUUGGACUGAUUCCUGGCUCCCAGUAACAUGGGCUCCAGGGCUUUACUGAACUCACUGGGAGACUCGUCUCCUCGCACUUCCUGUGAUAGGAUGGCAGAAAGGAGAGUUUAAGUGAUCAGUCGCUGCUUUGGAUCAGUGGUUUGUUGCAGUCCUCCAAGUUCGUGGUUUUGAAUGCGUGUAUUAUGAGCUGAUAUUUCUAACUGAUCCGUGAACUCGAUACCGCAGCUGUUACGAGUCUCGUUCUCGUCAAACCGAUUACACCUGCUUACCCUGUUCUGUUAGUUAAGCACGUCUUUAGUCUAGGCCAGGGCUGCCCAACCCUGUACCUUCCUGUAGGUUUUCACUCCAACCAUAAUUUGCCACGCCUGAUUUUACCAAUUGGCAGGUCAGCAAGGUCGCUAGCAGUUCAAUAAGGUGUGCUUUUUGUUAGGGUUGGAGUGAAAACCUACAGGACGGUAGAUCUCCAGGAACAGGGCUGGGCAGCCGUGGUCUUGGCUGAUGGGAGUUUGGGCCAUGGAGGAGUAGUUUUGAAGUGUGUCCCUUGCUGGGCCUGGAAAGCUGUGUGGUUAGGGUUAGGGUGUGCUGUCCGUGGCAGUGCUGGUGAUCAUGUGACCGCCUUGUAGUGUUGGGAGUCUUUCUCAUUGCCAUUUUCUGUUUCCUCCAAAUGAAAAAAAAAAAAAAAAAA